rnacentral:lncRNA from 1 species
UCUGUCUCAUUUCCAGGUCAGUUCAAUGAAUGAUCCUAUUUAGUUCUUUUUCCUGUUUAAAAUAUUUCCUACUGAGUCCAGAGCAGUGCCCUUAAAACAUAAUUGAUUUGGGUCAUUGAACCUUUAUUUUUCAUGCAUGUUAGUUUGCAUCCCGCCACUGGUCUGACUGGUAUUUCAAUUAGAAAAAUGCAGGCGGAUUUCUCCUAGAGGCUGAAGUUCACGUGGAGUCUCUGGCGAAAUAAGAUCCUGGAGUAUGUAUCCCUGGAACUGGGCAAUGAUUUGUUACUUUUUUUUUAAUUCUCUGUCUGGCCAGAAUGUUAUAAAUCUGGCGCUCUCUUGUUAGCUUCACGCUAAGCAGCAAUAAUGUCCACAGUGUUUUAGUCUUGAUAAUUCUAAUUACUGAAACACUGAAGAAGCUGAAAGCUGGGAAGAUGGACGAGGCUGGCCUCAAGUCCUGCACAGCACAUGGGACUCUCUCUUUGUAGAGCUGAACUAGAAUUCUCUCAUUUGCCAAGCCAGUACUGGAAGCAGCAGCCAAGGUAUAUUAUUCCUGUGGUGCAGUGGUGGAAUCAAUGGAAAGAGGCCUGAUUUUAUCACCAGGUUUCCCAAACAACUACUACCCAGGAACACACUGUGUUUGGCAAUUUUUCAUUCCCAUGAGAACCCAUCUUAUCUUGGAAAUUUUUGACUUUGACAUUUUUGAGAGCUCUAGUGAAACUCCAACCCCCUGGGAUGGCUUUUCAGCCCCCACUAAAGCAGGAAAUAAGGACAUGUCUUCUCUUGAGGAAAACCUGGACUUUGCUCUCCGUACUACAAAGCCCUCUCUCCAGACCUGGGUGUCAAAGGUGGCUCAGAAUCUAAGCAGCACAGGAGAUCAGUCAAAGGACCUUGCUAGUCACCUGGAUGAACUUCAAGGAGCUGCCUCAAAAAAAGAUGAAGCCAAACAAGCAUCUGAAGAAAACCAGUCAAAGCAGAUGAAAGAACCCAAAGCAAUUAUCAAGGCUCAACCAGAAGAGCUGCCAUUCCCUGUGGCUGGUAGUGCCACAAUGAGGAGGCAAAAUACCAGUGGCCUGAAAACAGAGGAAGAUUCGAAAGGGAAAAUCUUGCUUGCCCAUCUAGCUGCUAGUGAGAAAGAUGAAGUUACGGUAGAGAGCUGGACUCUUCCCACAACAGUAUUGCCUGUGGAGAUCUCCUCCAGCCCACAGUCAGCAGUGGAUGUCUGUCCCCAUGACGUAUUAUAUGUUUCUGAUCUCAUCACGUUUUCCUCUCGCUUCUGUGGACCAAAUUCACCUUUAAACAAGACCAUGGUCUUCGGUUCAUCUCUGGAAAUGGUUGAGGUUAUCAUGGAACUGAUCACCACCACAGACCGGGGCCGAGGCUUUGCAAUGCUCUUCGAAUACAAGAACACCACUGACCCUAACACUGUGGAUGCUGUGAGGCAGGAGAGGAAGGAAAAUAUGAUGAUACUGGCAAUCAUAACAGGGAUUGUCUUCUUUGCACUUGCUCUGCUCUCUGCCCUCUGCAUAGCUUGCAGGCAGAGAACGUGCCCCAAAAGGAGCUCAUCCAACGCAUGCAGUGACCAGGAGGUUAGUGCUAAUGGCUUCAGCAAUUUCUGUUUCUCUCUUUCAUAUUGGCUGUUGCACUGUUUAUCUGACGAUGUUUACUGGGGCAUGUUCUGA